CCUACGGGAGGCAGCAGUAGGGAAUAUUGCUCAAUGGGGGAAACCCUGAAGCAGCAACGCCGCGUGGAGGAUGAAGGUUUUCGGAUUGUAAACUCCUUUUGUUAGAGAAGAUAAUGACGGUAUCUAACGAAUAAGCACCGGCUAACUCCGUGCCAGCAGCCGCGGUAAUACGGAGGGUGCAAGCGUUACUCGGAAUCACUGGGCGUAAAGAGCGCGUAGGCGGGAUAGCAAGUCAGAUGUGAAAUCCUAGGGCUUAACCAUAGAACUGCAUUUGAAACUGUUAUUCUAGAGUAUGGGAGAGGUAGGUGGAAUGCUUGGUGUAGGGGUAAAAUCCGUAGAGAUCAAGAGGAAUACUCAUUGCGAAGGCGACCUGCUAGAACCUAACUGACGCUGAUGCGCGAAAGCGUGGGGAGCAAACAGGAUUAGAUACCCCAGUAGUC
rnacentral:rRNA from 1 species